UACGGAGGGUGCAAGCGUUAAUCGGAAUUACUGGGCGUAAAGCGCGCGUAGGUGGCGACUUAAGUGAGAUGUGAAAGCCCUGGGCUCAACCUGGGAACUGCAUUUCAAACUGAGUCGCUUGAGUACAGCAGAGGCGAGUGGAAUUUCCUGUGUAGCGGUGAAAUGCGUAGAUAUAGGAAGGAACACCAGUGGCGAAGGCGACUCGCUGGGCUGAUACUGACACUGAGGUGCGAAAGCGUGGGGAGCAAACAGG
rnacentral:rRNA from 1 species